AUUGAACGCUGGCGGAAUGCUUUACACAUGCAAGUCGAGCGGCAGCGCGGGGGCAACCCUGGCGGCGAGCGGCGAACGGGUGAGUAACAUAUCGGAACGUACCCCGUCGUGGGGGAUAACACAGCGAAAGCUGUGCUAAUACCGCAUACGACCUGAGGGUGAAAGCGGGGGAUCGCAAGACCUCGCGCGAUGGGAGCGGCCGAUAUCGGAUUAGCUUGUUGGUGAGGUAAAGGCUCACCAAGGCGACGAUCCGUAGCUGGUCUGAGAGGACGACCAGCCACACUGGAACUGAGACACGGUCCAGACUCCUACGGGAGGCAGCAGUGGGGAAUUUUGGACAAUGGGCGCAAGCCUGAUCCAGCCAUGCCGCGUGAGUGAAGAAGGCCUCGGUUGUAAG
rnacentral:rRNA from 1 species